UACGUAGGUGGCAAGCGUUGUCCGGAUUUACUGGGCGUAAAGGGCGUGCAGGCGGUCUGUUAAGUGCAGGGUGAAAGCUCCCGGCUCAACUGGGAGAGGUCCUUGCAUACUGGCGGACUUGAGGGGGGUAGAGGAAAGUGGAAUUCCCGGUGUAGUGGUGAUAUGCGUAGAUAUCGGGAGGAACACCUGUGGCGAAGGCAGCUCACUGGGACGGUAUUGACGCUGAGACGCGAAAGCGUGGGGAGCAAACAGG
rnacentral:rRNA from 1 species